rnacentral:tRNA from 2 species
GCCCUAAUAGCUUAGCCUAAAAGCGUCGGUCUUGUAAUCCGAAGAUCGGAGGUUAAACUCCUCCUUAGCGCC